rnacentral:rRNA from 1 species
AGAGUUUGAUCAUGGCUCAGAACGUACGCUGGCGGCACGCCUUAUACAUGCAAGUCGAACGAAGUAGCAAUACUUAGUGGCAGACGGGUGAGUAACAUGUAGGUAUCUACCCUUUGGUGAGGAAUAACACGAGGAAACUUGUGCUAAUACCUCAUAAGUCUUUACGGAGAAAGCUUUAUGCGCCGAAGGAUGAGCCUGCACUUGAUUAGUUUGUUGGUGGGGUAAUGGCCUACCAAGACUUUGAUCUAUAGCUGAUCUGAGAGGAUGAUCAGCCACAUUGGGACUGAGACACGGCCCAAACUCCUACGGGAGGCAGCAGUAGGGAAUAUUGCACAAUGGAGGAAACUCUGAUGCAGCGAUGCCGCGUGAGUGAAGAAGGCCUUUGGGUUGUAAAGCUCUUUCGUCGGGGAAGAAAAUGACUGUACCCGAAUAAGAAGGUCCGGCUAACUUCGUGCCAGCAGCCGCGGUAAUACGAAGGGACCUAGCGUAGUUCGGAAUUACUGGGCUUAAAGAGUUCGUAGGUGGUUAAAAAAGUUGGUGGUGAAAUCCCAGAGCUUAACUCUGGAACUGCCAUCAAAACUUUUUAGCUAGAGUAUGAUAGAGGAAAGCAGAAUUUCUAGUGUAGAGGUGAAAUUCGUAGAUAUUAGAAAGAAUACCAAUUGCGAAGGCAGCUUUCUGGAUCAUUACUGACGCUGAGGAACGAAAGCAUGGGUAGCGAAGAGGAUUAGAUACCCUCGUAGUCCAUGCCGUAAACGAUGUGUGUUAGACGUUGGAAAUUUAUUUUCAGUGUCGCAGCGAAAGCGU